GGACGCGUUCUCCGGCAAGAGUGGUUUCAGCUGUUUUUUUGGACGUGCUAGUAGUUAACUCAUGGGAUAGAAAUACUACCGGGAGUGGUGAGAAACAAGACCUAGAAAGCUCAGAGAAAAGCAGAUGGAGAGUGGAGCUCUUGUCUGUCUUCUCGGCUCCUAACGGCAGCCCCAGAUUCGCAAUGAAGAGCCCCACGCCACAUGAAAUGUGAGCAAGUCCACCCACCUCAUCUACCCUGGCGGCCAGUUCCUCGUUGGACCAGAUCCCUUCUAUCAUAAGCUCCUCCUCAGCACAUGGUUAUUACUGGAAUGCUGGUGGUUUGGGCAACUCUUUUUCUGGUGAGAUGGUGCAGUGGGAAGGGACAUUGACUAUUUGAAGAGCAAACAACCAAGAUAAAAUCUUAAAAGCAGGCAGAGAGAAAAGAUACAGAAGACUCACACUGACUUCUCAAGUGAAACAAUGGAAGCCAAAAGACAAUAAAGUAAUAUCUUCAAAGCCCUGAAAGAGAAUAACUACGAGUGGAAGUCUAUGCAAGCACAGAUAUCCUUCCAAAAUAAAGAGGAAAUAAAUACACUUUUAGAAAAACAACGCUUGAGAAAUCUCAUCACCAGCUGACCUGCACAAAAGGAAAUCCUAAAGGGUGUUCUUCAGGCAGAAGGAAAAUAAACUCAAAUGUAAUCUGGGAGAUGCAGGAAGGAAUGAAGAACAAUAGAAAAGGUACAUCCCACUUCCAGCGGGCUGUCCCUCGGUGCUGGCUUGGCUUCUUGGGAAAAGAGUGAAGAAUCAGAGCCUACACGCUGCUGCUGAGCUCCACAGCCUCCAUCUUGCCUCCUCCUGUUUAGACGAUGCGGGUCCUAGUUCUGGGAAGCCCUUCCACCGGAUCGCAGAGCCUCUCUGAACUUCAGGCUCCUCAUCUAUAAAAUGGACCUCCCAAGGUGGUGGUUUAGUGCUGUCAGGGACAUGUUGGCAGGAGGACCGUGUGAGCUGUUGUAUCCACAGUAGCCUGGAAAGGGUGAGGGCAAAGGGCUGGGGGACCGGUCAGAAGGCACCUACCACAAUCCAGGUAGGAGGUGACAGUGCUGCAGCCAGGCUGCACGGCGAAGGAUGGGAGGGGCCCCCGGAGAAACCUGAAUCAGGUACCACAGUAACGGGGAACGUGGAGGAGGGCGUGAUUCACUCCAAGGCCGCCAGGGGAUGUNNNNNNNNNNNNNNNNNNNNNNNNNNNNNNNNNNNCAGGCACUCAAGAGGGUGAGAACAUUCCAACACCGGUGUGCCGGGGCCCCAUUGAGAGGGAGCCAGGCCUGUUUGGGGACCUAUGAAGCAGCAUCACAUCAGAGCAGAAGGGUCAGGGGAGGCCAGAUGGGGAAGGAGCUCGCCGCUCUGCCAAGGGUGUUGUCCUCUGGGCGCCAGGGAGUUCAGGAAGAAUUUUAAGCCUGGGGGCCGGUGGUGCUUAAGACCUAAAACUUGCUAUUAAGAAAAGUCCCGUGGUCACCAUGAACGGCCUGGGGGGAGGUGGCAGGGAAAACCCAGAGGGGAAGCAGAAAAUGAGGGCUGACCCCGGGGCAGUGGGAGAGAGGGAAGGAGGCAUGAGAACCGUUUAGGGAGAAGAGAGGAUCAGGGCCGUGUGGGUUUGGGGAAAGAGGAGCAGGCUGUUUUGAGGAAGAGAAUGAGUCAUGUGGGGGCCGGCUGAAUUGGAGGAUCCACUGGGGGAUCAGACAGCCAAGCCCCAGAGCAGCCGAUGUUGGAGUCUGGAGCUCAGCGGAGGGGACUUGGGUCCAGAAGCCUCAAGGGACAGGUGGCAUUUAAGCUGUGGAAGGCCACCAGCUAAAAGGCAUCUCCAGAUUUUUACCUUUAGUAAGAUCUGAAUAGAGGUAUAUUUCCCUCCUCUUUGCCUCUUUCCCAAGGCCUUUGAGAGAUACAGUGAGAAAAACAUUCUUGAGGGUAAAGAGGAGGGAUCCAGGAGGGGAUCCUCCUAGGGCAGCACGGAGGAAUCCCUGGGCUGGUCCCACUUCACCCCACGGUGUCUGCGGGCAGAGGGGCCUGGAUAGGCAGGGCUCUUGGUAUCCAUUGUCCGUGGGUCUCUGCAUGCAGAUAUGUAAAGUUAUGUGUUUUCAUCUCCCCGUGAUUCCUGUUUUCCUGCAGCCCUUCCCGCUGAGGCGUAUGGCCCAAUGAAGUUGGAGGGGUGAAUUCGAAGCAAGACCUCAAGCAGGGGGUGAAGCGGACAUGAUGUAGAGAAGCUGCUGCUGAUGGCAAUGGGACCAGAAAAGGGGGGCCUAAGGAAGAGAGAACAUGAGAAGCAAAAAGGGCAGCCCCUUAACCUUCAACCUCAGAGGCUCGUGUGGGAGAAACCCAGUCAGGUCUGAGGGGAGAUCUCACAGCAAGGGGGUGGGUGGGACUUGACUCAGAUUGCAGUGGGGAGAAAUUUUAAUGACACCCCCUCCCUAGCAAACCAGCGAUGCAAGAUGGUGCCAGCACAAUAUGGUGCCAAUCAGGAGGUGGUUUGGAAUGGCUGAGGAAGGGAGUCUGGGAAGUGGCUUCAUGCAACGCUGCUCGUUCUAGUGAGAAUGCAGCCAGGUAGUCCUAGGUCCCAGGGGCCGCAGAGCCAAGAUCUGCCUCACCAGCUAUGUGCAGGGACCACGCACUUUGGCUUCACCUCUUCCUGCCCCUACCCCACCAGCAAGCCCCAGGGACCAGAACCAUCUCUGUCCUGCGUGUGUGUGUGUGUUGUGUGUGUGUGUGUGUGUGUGUGUGUGUGUGUGUGUGUAAGAAUGCAGGGGACUCCACUCAGACCUUCAACCCUCUUGUCCCACCACCGUGAGGCCCAUGAACAUCUCUCUGCACCAGGAAAUUAUCUUGGCUGGGAGAAGGCGGAAGGGUGAGAAAACCUUGGAAUACUGAGCAAUUUUACUCAAAAGAGACUGAGUUAAUCAUACAGAAAUGGAGCUAUGUCUAAGGGGCAAUUUAAUGCUUUCUUUUUGUUUGUUUUCUUUUUGCCCGUCAGUAGUAGGAAUUAUCAGAUCACGAUGAGAAGAGUAUAAGAAAAAGUAAGAACAAUACUGAUUUGACCCAUCUGGGUAGGUGUGUGUGUGUGAUCUUUAGCCCUCCCACAAUUAUGUCUGUACACGUUUGCUGGGGCAACUGUAUAUUUUCAAUUCCAAUCGUCAGACCUUUCCUUGAAGCUCACGUGUGUUUUGAUCUGGCCAGGAAUUGAGAAUCAUAAAAUCAUUAAAUCUGUAUUAAUUACCUAUUGCUGCAUAGUAAGUUAAUCCAAAAUUUAGCUGAAAUAAAUAUGUAUUAUCUCACA
rnacentral:lncRNA from 1 species